AGUGGGGAAUUUUCCGCAAUGGGCGAAAGCCUGACGGAGCAAGACCGCGUGAGGGAAGAAGGUCUGUGGAUUGUAAACCUCUUUUGAUUGGGAAGAAGCACUGACGGUACCAAUCGAAUCAGCCUCGGCUAACUCCGUGCCAGCAGCCGCGGUAAUACGGAGGAGGCAAGCGUUAUCCGGAAUUAUUGGGCGUAAAGCGUCCGUAGGUGGUUUGUCAAGUCUUCUGUCAAAGCGCGGAGCUUAACUCCGUAAAGGCAGAGGAAACUGACAGGCUAGAGUGCGAUAGGGGCAAGGGGAAUUCCCAGUGUAGCGGUGAAAUGCGUAGAUAUUGGGAAGAACACCGGUGGCGAAAGCGCCUUGCUGGGUCUGCACUGACACUGAGGGA
rnacentral:rRNA from 1 species